UUUCCCGCCUAUAUACCGCCGUCCGUCAGCUUACCCUGUGAAGGCUUAAUAGUAAGCAAAAUUGGCAUAGCCCAAAACGUCAGGUCGAGGUGUAGUGUAUGAGAGGGGAAGAAAUGGGCUACAUUCGCUAACUACUAGCGAAAACGAAUAAUGCAUUGAAAAAUGCUAUUGAAGGUGGAUUUAGUAGUAAGCGGGAAAUAGAGUGUCCCACUGAACCCGGCCCUAAAGCGCGUACACACCGCCCGUCACCCUCUCCUAUCCCAUUUCCCCUUUUUCCUAAAACACUAACAUACACUUAAGGAGAGGAAAGUCGUAACAUGGUAAGCGUAUCGGAAGAUGCGCUUGGUACAAAU
rnacentral:rRNA from 1 species